GAUGAGCAUGCGUCCCAUUAGCUAGUUGGUAAGGUAACGGCUUACCAAGGCGACGAUGGGUAGGGGUCCUGAGAGGGAGAUCCCCCACACUGGUACUGAGACACGGACCAGACUCCUACGGGAGGCAGCAGUGAGGAAUAUUGGUCAAUGGGCGCAAGCCUGAACCAGCCAUGCCGCGUGCAGGAUGAAGCAUCUAUGGUGUGUAAACUGCUUUUGUACGAGAAGAAACACUCCUACGUGUAGGAGCUUGACGGUAUCGUAAGAAUAAGGACCGGCUAACUCCGUGCCAGCAGCCGCGGUAAUACGGAGGGUCCAAGCGUUAUCCGGAAUCAUUGGGUUUAAAGGGUCCGUAGGCGGUUUUGUAAGUCAGUGGUGAAAGCCCAUCGCUCAACGGUGGAACGGCCAUUGAUACUGCAAGACUUGAAUUAUUAGGAAGUAACUAGAAUAUGUAGUGUAGCGGUGAAAUGCUUAGAGAUUACAUGGAAUACCAAUUGCGAAGGCAGGUUACUACUAAUGGAUUGACGCUGAUGGACGAAAGCG
rnacentral:rRNA from 1 species